GACGAACGCUGGCGGCGCGCUUAACACAUGCAAGUCGAACGGAAAGGCCUGCUUUCCCUUGUGGAUUGCGGGUACUCGAGUGGCGAACGGGUGAGUAACACGUGAGUGAUCUGCCCCCAACUUGGGUAUAAGCCUGGGAAACUGGGUCUAAUUCCCGAUAGGACUGCAGGGUGGUGCCUGUGGUGGAAAACGAUUUUCUAGUGGUUGGGGAUGAGCUCGCGGCCUAUCAGCUUGUUGGUGGGGUAAUGGCCUACCAAGGCGGCGACGGGUAGCCGGCCUGAGAGUGUGGACGGCCACAUUGGGACUGAGAUACGGCCCAGACGCCUACGGGAGGCAGCAGUGGGGAAUAUUGCACAAUGGGCGGAAGCCUGAUGCAGCGACGCCGCGUGGGGGAUGACGGCCUUCGGGGUGUAAACUCCUUUCGACCGCGAGGAAGCCACCUGGUUGGAAGGGUGGUGACGGUAGUGGUAGAAGAAGCACCGGCUAACGACGUGC
rnacentral:rRNA from 1 species